rnacentral:rRNA from 1 species
UGAAGAACGUAGCGAAAUGCGAUACUUGGUGUGAAUUGCAGAAUCCCGCGAACCAUCGAGUCUUUGAACGCAAGUUGCGCCCGAGGCCACCCGGCCGAGGGCACGCCUGCCUGGGCGUCACGCCUCGCGUCGCUCCGAGCACCGGCCCGACCCGGCGCGCGGACGCGGACACUGGCCCUCCG